CUGCUGUCCCAUCCACGACUCCUGUUGCACUAUUUUAACGCGGUACUUUUCCGAUCUUCCACGAUCACCGACAUACGCGUCUAAUUGUUCUUUUGUCGAAUAAUCGUUGGCGAGAGACUGCGCGACCGCGGAAUUAUAUAGCGCUGAUGGUGCGACCGGAUCGCACAAGGUAGGAGGUUUCACAAUGAAAAUUCGUAGCUCGCGAUUAAACUACUAGGAAAGAGACUAGCCGGCUAGUCGUUUAUCGAUCUAUUCGACGAAUACUUGUUCACGGACGAACGUCACGUCAUCCGAUAGGCAAGUAUCUCGAAGCUGUCGGGAUAAAAAGAUCUCAGGCAAGUCUCCUCCAAGGCUUCAUUCGCGCCUGUUUCACUGUACGGCUGUCCUUUGUCAUCGAACCAUCUGUCGUCGGUAACAACGCGACAAUUGGCCUUUUCAAAUGCCGUGUUCUUAUGUUACGGCUUGAUAACGCGCGAUUCUCGCUUCUGCCAACUCGUCGCAGCAUCUCUCACCACGUCGCCACGCAUUCUUAUCGUUCUUCGGUUCGAAAUAGUUUGAAAUCACUCAACCAGACUCCUGCCGGCCAUUGUGUCACGCGUUUUUUCCUUCAGCCGCCAUUGUUGCCUCUUUGCGCGCCGGUAAAACCUCGCUAUCUCUAUCUUUCCAUGGAAAUACGCAUCUGGAAAUAUUCUAUGUAUUAGGUUGUCCGAAAUGUUUCUUUCCAUUUAUUAGGAAAUAAUAGACGCACAAUGUUUUUUGUUGUAUAUUAGUUUAUUGAAUUAUGUACAAAUAUAAUAAUAGAAAUAGAACGAAAUGGAUCAUACCUAAUUCAAGAAAAUAAUAUAAAACAGAAAUUCUUGUCCAUCUAUUAUCACCGUAUGAAACGAAAGAAACCUUUCAAAUAACCUAAUACAACACGCUUUACCGGCUAACAGAGAUAUUCGCGUAUCACGCGCGUCGCUGCUUCUCCGAUGCUCAAGUUUACGAACGUAGCAGUGAAAGUAUCUCGCGAGCUGACUAGAGAUACGAACCCGCUGCUGACAUAAUUUAACCUUGUUUACAUAGCGUGACUCGUUGCGAAUUGUCAAAUCCUUAUUUCACGCCACCAAACCUGUUUCCAGGCUAUUCGUGUAUACAUACGACAGGUAUAAAACAUAACCUCUCUUCCGUUCGCAGUUACAAGAGAGGUGUAAUUUGCUUGGAAAGCCUCGUACGCAAACGAGUCUCGAAUCGAUAAUAAAUUACGAGGAUGAUGUGGGAAACGUUAAAGGAAGUUCUCGUGACAACGAUUAAACGGUUAACGCGUGGAUAUAGCGUAAUGCGGAUCGACGUGCAACUUAAUAUCUAACGCGAUAUCUCGUUUAAUUUCCUAAUGGCGAGAAUACGUAGCGCCGAGUUGCAGAGGGAAAGAAAAAGAAGAAAAUUAGAAGGAACGACGCGUUACGAAGCAAGUUAAAUGUUAUACAGUGGAUCGGGAGAAAUUAGAUUUCCAUAUAAACGAAGGAACACUGCGAUUACCAUUAGAUAUUAGGAGGAAAUUAAAGCGAGCGUACUACAAUACAAUAUUCGUAAAUAAUUCAGCACGCGGAUAAAUAUGACCCAGUAAAGGACGAUGAAUAAGUAAAUUCGUAUUACGUAGCGACAUGACAGUCGGAAGUAUGUUUCGUGCGCACCGUCAACUUUCAUAGUUCGACUUGUCUGAAAUAUUCAAAUGUCGUGGAACGAAUAGUAUAGACACGAGUAUCAAAAUCGAAGCAAAAGCCGCUUCUCUCUUAUGGCGAAUGUACUUGAAAUUUUGUCCGCUAGAAUCGCUUCAUGUCUCCUCCCUGUGUCCGGCAAUCGACUUUCGUCUUAUAGUGAACUGUUUAUCAUCGCUCGUUCUCUUCGCACGCGAUACCGCCUUCUAAUCUGAAGAUCGAGCCGCUGCGAAUACGAAAUGGCGCUGUUCUCGUUACGGAAGACGCGACGCGCAGUCUUGCCAUCGAAGGAGCAAAUAAUUUCGGUGAACGUUUCUCAUUCAUUCUGAGUCAUUCGUCAUUCGCGUGGUUACGAGUUGGCGCUACGAGAUUCAACUCGAACGCGCCCACGAAUCUCUGGUGCGCUAUCGAACCGGCAGUUUGCUAACCAAACAAGGCAAGAUAAAUACCACGAUGCUGCAGUAUUACGAGGAUUAAGCAAGUAAUGGUAGUCACCUCUCACACGUUUCAGCGGAAGAAAGAGCGCAAAUAUUCCGCGUCUCGGAGAAGCGUGAGAUUUUAAGAUGACCGCUAAGCGUUUCGGUACAAAGGAUGCGUCCGUGAAUUUAGAGCUUAUGGUGGUAACGGCUAUGGAAAAUUUUCGCGUGACUCACGAUAAAUCGUCGGCCAACAACGGAGAAACCUGUUUCUCUCCCUCUGUAGCGUAAAAGAAGGACAGGGAACAGGAGUCAGAAAGAAGGAGAAGCAAGAGAGAGAGAGAGAGAGAGAGAGAGAAAGAGAAAGAGAGAAUAAAAAAGGUCGCCCGGAGCAGUGCAGCACGUGUACGGAGAAGAAAGGACAUACAGACACACGCGUUUGCAUGAUGCGAGAUAUCGAAGAUUUAUAAAAUCAGGUCGAAAACCUCGAAUCUGCCUGCUUCUUGCAUAACCUUGUGCCAUAAAAGACACGCUAGAGGAGAAACCAACGUGCUCCUUUCUCUCUGGCCGACUCGAAUAGUUUUCUUUCCACGAGACUUAUCGAUAUCCUGGCGCGUCACGGCUCACCAGGCAUUGUACAAAAUCGACCUAACCUUUUUCUAAAAGAUAAGCGAGGCAGCUGCUUGUGCUUUAAGGGAAUCCCAACUCGGACCACCAUCUAUGCCAUUACGUUCGACCAACGAACGCUGCAGGAUCCGGCGUUUCGUCGUAGUUUGUAGUCGUGAAAUUUACCAAGCAUCGUGCAUCGAGACACUGCCCUUUUGACGAAACAGAGAACUAAUUCUGAACAUACCGUUCGCGUAAAUAGACCGCUGCUGCUUCAGCAUUUAUGGGAAAUAUAUUAACACUUAGCCAAUGGAAUAGGGAGAUCUCCUUUUUUGACUUUAGUAACGCGUUUUCUUUUUUUUUUGUUGUUGUUAUUAUCAGUUAUCGUUUACCUGAAAUUGUUCACUUUUUCUGUUUUUAUAAAGUACAGUAUAUAAUAAAAUACAGCAAUUCAGUGGUGUUAAAAUUAAUGAAAAGGUUACACUAUCGGUUAUGACUAGAUAAAAUUAUAAUCGAACGAUAGCACACCGUAAAAAAAUAUUAAAAUGCAUUAUGAAUUUUUAA